GUCAUCACAGCAGAAGGAAGUGCAUUUUGUUCCCUCCAACAUUGUUUUCGCCAUGUAAUGGGCUAAAGUAUAAGAGCAUGAUGUUAAGCAUCUAGAUCUUGAUAAUCCAGAAAACAUAACAUGCUGUGGCUGCUUUGGAUCUAAGUGCUGCAAAUACUUUCCAUUCACCAAGCAGGAUGCUAUUGCUUCUUACCUUCCCAUCCAUCAUUGCUUUCUUCAUUUCUCAUCAUCAUGAUUCCAACAAAUUUCCAAGUGCCAAAAAGCAAAGCUGAAGAUCAAAGAACUCAGAGCAAUGUACAUGUGGUUUCCAGUUGGGCACUCAUCAAAGCACAAACCAGACUCAGAUAUGCUUAGCUUCAGCAAGAUGGUGGCUUUUUGUGCCUUCAGACCACACCCAAGGCACAACAUGAGUCCCCAAUCCAAUUGUCAUCAAGUAAUCACUUGAAGGUUAGGCUUUUUAAGGUUUUGCAUGAAAACUGCAAACACAUGGCUGAUUUUUGAACAAUGCAAAUAUGUUUUUAUUACAUACUAUCUUUCUGUAUGCAUCAAUUUGUCUGGGCCUCCUUAUUUCCUAAGGGACAACCCAAGACCAUUUGUUAGAAUAAAUGACAGAUGCACAGAGAGCUCAAAGAGAAUAAAGGAAAAUGUUAAUUGUUGCGUGAGCCUUCCCCUCUCCCCAUUUUAAUAAGUCAAUUGACUUAUAUGCACCAGAGAAUCUUUGCUUUUAAGUGAAUAGCAUGCUUUGGAGCAGAUGAAAGAGAUUAAAAUAUCUAUCUUUUGGAAGUUGCAUGUCCUGUUUUUUGAGAACUUCAAAUAUCCACCCACACUGAGGCCAGCAUGGAAACAUCUGAACUUUAUUCCAUCAAAUAUUGAAAAUUAAAGCACUUUUAAAUAA